GACGAACGCUGGCGGCGUGCUUAACACAUGCAAGUCGAACGAAGUGGCGAACGGGUGAGUAAUACGUGGGUAACCUGCCCUCCUUUUUGGGAUAAGCCUUGGAAACGGGGUCUAAUACCGAAUAAAGGGGGAUGGGCUCGCGGCCUAUCAGCUUGUUGGUGGGGUGAUGGCCUACCAAGGCGGUGACGGGUAGCCGGCCUGAGAGUGUGACCGGCCACAGUGGGACGGAGAUACGGCCCAGGAGCCUACGGGAGGCAGUAGUGGGGGAUAUUGCACAAUGGGCGAAAGCCUGAUGCAGCGACGCCGCGUGGGGGAUGGAGGCUUACGGGUUGUAAACCUGUUUCGAUAUCGAACGGGUAGGUGAAGAAGAAGCGCCGGCUAACUACGUGCCAGCAGCCGCGGUAAUAC
rnacentral:rRNA from 1 species